rnacentral:rRNA from 1 species
GACGAACGCUGGCGGCGUGCCUAAUACAUGCAAGUAGAACGCACAGUUUAUACCGUAGCUUGCUACACCAUAGACUGUGAGUUGCGAACGGGUGAGUAACGCGUAGGUAACCUGCCUGGUAGCGGGGGAUAACUAUUGGAAACGAUAGCUAAUACCGCAUAAUAUAAAUUAUUGCAUGAUAAUUAAUUGAAAGGUGCAAUUGCACCACUACCAGAUGGACCUGCGUUGUAUUAGCUAGUAGGUGAGGUAACGGCUCACCUAGGCGACGAUACAUAGCCGACCUGAGAGGGUGAUCGGCCACACUGGGACUGAGACACGGCCCAGACUCCUACGGGAGGCAGCAGUAGGGAAUCUUCGGCAAUGGACGAAAGUCUGACCGAGCAACGCCGCGUGAGUGAAGAAGGUUUUCGGAUCGUAAAGCUCUGUUGUAAGAGAAGAACGGGUGUGAGAGUGGAAAGUUCACACUGUGACGGUAUCUUACCAGAAAGGGACGGCUAACUACGUG